GUAGUCAUAUGCUUGUCUCAAAGAUUAAGCCAUGCAUGUCCAAGUAUAAACCACUUUGUACGGUGAAACUGCGAAUGGCUCAUUAUAUCAGUUAUUGUUUAUUUGAUGAUACCUUGCCACAUGGAUAACCGUGGUAAUUCUAGAGCUAAUACAUGCACGCCAGGCCCGACUUUUGCGGAAGGGCCGUGUUUAUUAGGUAAAAGCCAACCCGGGGCGACCCGGCCGCUGGUGAUUCAUGAUAACUUUGCGAACCGCAGCAGCCCUUUGCGGCGGCGGUGGAUCAUUCAAAUUUCUGCCCUAUCAACUUUCGACGGUAGGAUAGAGGCCUACCGUGGUGGCAACGGGUAACGGGGAAU
rnacentral:rRNA from 1 species